GGAAUCUUCCACAAUGGGCGCAAGCCUGAUGGAGCAACACCGCGUGAGUGAAGAAGGGUUUCGGCUCGUAAAACUCUGUUGUUAAAGAAGAACGUAUCUAAGAGUAACUGCUUAGGUAGUGACGGUAUUUAACCAGAAAGCCACGGCUAACUACGUGCCAGCAGCCGCGGUAAUACGUAGGUGGCAAGCGUUAUCCGGAUUUAUUGGGCGUAAAGCGAGCGCAGGCGGUUUUUUAAGUCUGAUGUGAAAGCCUUCGGCUUAACCGAAGAAGUGCAUCGGAAACUGGGAAACUUGAGUGCAGAAGAGGACAGUGGAACUCCAUGUGUAGCGGUGAAAUGCGUAGAUAUAUGGAAGAACACCAGUGGCGAAGGCGGCUGUCUGGUCUGUAACUGACGCUGAGGCUCGAAAGCAUGGGUAGCGAACA
rnacentral:rRNA from 1 species